GCUCCAACGAAAACGACACUGCCGCAUUUUUAAACAUUGACGUAUUCGUGCUUUGUGAUAAAUCAUAUUUCAAUAAUAUUCUGAAAAUUGAUAACUGCCGUCAUUUCCAUAAUUUAUGGCNACGUUUUGCAUAUUUCCGUUUAGGGAUACCGAUUGUUUUUUUUUUUUUUUUUUUUUUUUUUUUUGCUACCCGGAAUCAAAAUGUGGCGGUGUUCCGCUAGAAUAUAUUUAAAACCAAAAACAACCGUUACUGUGACUUCUCAAUAAUCGGAAACGUCGUGUUGUUGCAGAUACAAUACGAAAAAGCUGUUCUAGGAUAAUGGGGACGGGAGUGCAGCCACUGUAGUAGACGGGAAGUUGGGGAGAACGGAUACGGGAGGGAAUUCAAU